rnacentral:misc_RNA from 1 species
AAGUGCGAUAUUUAGUGCGAUUUGCAUGAAUCUGUGAGUCAUCGAGUCUUUGAACGCAACUUGCGCCCGUAAGGGCAUGUCUGUUUGAGUACCUAUAAACCAAUGCAGCAAUGCGACUUGCUAGUCCGGUAUGGUCUAGUUGAAUGUAGAUUCCAUGACGCUGAGGUCAGUUGCCUCUUGAAGCUAGAGACGCAAGUCUUGUUCAAGAAGGUGCCUGACUUUAUCUUUUUUGGUCUCAAAUCAGGCAAGAUUACCCGCUGAACUUAA